rnacentral:rRNA from 1 species
GACGAACGCUGGCGGCGUGCUUAACACAUGCAAGUCGAACGAAGUGGCGAACGGGUGAGUAAUACGUGGGUACCCUGCCCUCCUUUUUGGGAUAAGCCUUGGAAACGGGGUCUAAUACCGAAUAAAGGGGGAUGGGCUCGCGGCCUAUCAGCUUGUUGGUGGGGUGAUGGCCUACCAAGGCGGUGACGGGUAGCCGGCCUGAGAGGGGGAACGGCAACAGUGGGACUGAGAGACGUCCAAGACUCCGACGGGAGGGAGCAGUGGGGGAUAGUGCAAAAUGGGCGAAAGACUGAUGCAGCGACGCCGCGUGGGGGAUGAAGGCUUUCGGGUUGUAAACCUCUUUCGAUAUCGAAAGGGUAGGUGGAGAAGAAGCGCCGACUAACUACGUGCCAGCAGCCGCGGUAAUAC